rnacentral:lncRNA from 1 species
GGGAGUGCAAAGGCACUGAUCACAACCCACUAUCACAAGCCACAUUUCAUCAUUGGCUAGCUCAUAAUCUGGAUUUUUCUAAAUCUAAAUAAACCAGAUUUUUCCAUAAGCCACAGAAGAAUUUUUGGACGGCUAAUUGUUGGUCGGUCGAGCCAUCCGUAUAUUGAGUAGAGAGGCGUCAAUAAUACCGUCUUUUCUUUUGGUUUCUAGAGUAGACGGAAAAAAUCGAGGGUCUCUUUCCCGCAGCCGUUCCUGCCAUUCGGUGUCUCUCUUUCCCACCCGUUGGCGCUGUCUUCUGGCUUCUCCAGUCGUCCUGUUUGAGAGAUGUAGUGGAGAGAAAGAUAUCAAGGGUUUUCGUUCGCGCAACAGCCGUUGCCGGCCGCGAAGAACUCACUUCCCCACCCGUCGCGACCUCGCUAUCACACCUACACAGGCCUGUAAGACCUUCUCUCUCCAUUCUUUGCUGGUUAUCCACAAAUAUAGUCUUCAAAUGCAUGUUUUUUCCACUGUGAAUUUUCGAGAUUUAUAGCCAAUCGGAAUGAUUAUUUACGGGCCAUUAACUCUUGGUCAGUCAGUGAGUAUUUUUUAAUUGUGAUUUUUGUCUGAUGAUAACUGUUGGGAUUGCGGUGGCUGGAAUUUGGCGGUGUUGGUGGUGGAGAUUUGGUUGGUAUAUGUGGGUACGGAAUAUAACUUGCAGAGUUUCUAAUUCUCUUUAGAUUUGAUUUAAUUACACUACCAACCCAUAUCAGAAGAUUUAAAGGAAGAGAGAUAAAUCAAUCCCUUCAUUGAAUAAAAAUUGAAAUCUGUAGGUGUUUAUUAUCAUCCCAAAAUUUUCUUCUCAGAAACAAUAAAGAGGGAAAAACUUAAUUCAACUCAAGUCUCAACAAUUUGGUUGGGGUAAGGGCCGUAGGGGGGUGUUUGAUUACUACUUCCUCUCUGUCAUGCCAUGGAUCGGGGGCUUUCAAGCUUUCAACUGAAAGUUAUUUUUUUUUGCAACCACUAGAUUUAGCAGAAGAUAGAGUUGAUGAAAUGCUCUUUCUCAAGCUCUUGAAUCUAUUUCCAACUUUAAUCUUCAACUAGAAUAUUUUCACUUUUAACCAUGAAGGUUUUCUCCCAUAAUCUGCUCUCUGCAUAACCUUGUAAAUCAAGAACUGGGAUCAUCGGUGAUUUACCUCUUCAAAGCUUGACUCAAAGAGAGAGGGGUGGUGGAGAACUUCUGAAUUUAUUUUUAUUUUUAUUUUUAUUUUUUUGUUUUAUUCAAAUUCUGAUUUAAAAAAUUGAACAAAUUUGUGUACUGAUUUGAUUUACCCAACUUUUUAAUUGAACGAAAUGCAUAAUUUUCCACUAAACAUUUUAGAAAUAUAAAAGCAUAAAAAAGUUAGAAAAAUUAAUAUUUUUUAGUUGACAUUUGGUAUCAUGUUUAUUAUUUUAAAAAAAAUUGGGUCAAUGCAUCCAUGUUGUAUCAUGUCGGACAUUCUACACUGUUCUUUAGGUGUUCCAAGAUGUAAUUUAGUUCUUUCUUUUCUGUACUAAAAGAAAUCGGAUGCCUGUGAAGGUAAGCGGUGAUGGCUACCGUGAAAAUAAUAACCCGAACAUAGAAGAAAAGAUGUUGAGAUCUAGGAAGAAGAAAGAGAAACACAAGGCACAAUAUGAUAAUAAAUGACUAUUCUAGAAACCAAAAGAAAAGUAUGAUAUUUCUAACUUUCUUUCUUUAUAGUGCACUUUAGCAUUCAAAUGCAUUUUUAGUUUUAUUCACAUAUGUUCAACGGCCUUUUUUGAUUGAGGGUUACAUUCGAUAAACUGUCCAAAUGGUUUUCUUGGCUACUCUUUCCCACUGUGAAUUCUUGAGAUUUAUAGUCAAUCGAAAUGAUGAUUUAUGGGCCAUUAACACCUGGUCUCAGUGAGUAUUUUUUAAUUGUAGCAAUUUUGAGCUUUGUUGUCACAUGGGAUCUUAAUUAUUUUAGGUGGAUUUUGAUUUUUGUAUUUGUACAGCUCACCCCUUUUUACUACUAUGGUAAAGAACAAUAUAGAGAAGUGUAUUAUGGACUUAAAUUGCGAAUUCCUUAUAAAUUUUAGAAAUGCGGUUUGGAUAGAAAGAUUCCACUUUCCAAACUUUCCUCUUGAUGAGUCUUUUCAAAUAUCCUACAUGAUUUCUUGAUACGCGAAGGAAAUUUUUCAUUGUGGUACUACUUUGUUCUUUUGAUAGCACAAUUUUCUUGAAUGCAUUAAUGCAGAAAUAUUGUGUAUGCACUUCAAUUUUGCAUGUCGGAACAUUAUGUUUUCAAAUGCUCUAUCCAGCUAGCCUUUCAGUUUAGAAGAUUCCGAAAAUUAGCUUUUGUCCUAGACAAGAUUUUUUGAUUCUAUACUUAUCUUUUCAUUUUAAUCCUGGAAUGGGUUGGUCAAAGUUGGACUUUUUUUUUACAAACCUUUUUGAAGCUUAAGAUCGAGCCAGACACCUGUUUGAGAGAACUAUUUUUGGUGGACUAUGAUGCUUCUAGCAAGUUAUUGAACUUCACUUCUGGUUUUUGCCCAGCUGAUCUUUUUGGCAAUCAAUAAAUGGAGCUGAUGGAUUCAGUUAGGAUAAAGAGUGAUGGAAAUUUUUUCAAAUUUGUGUAGUUUCUUAUGAUGUGAUAGUUUUAACUUUAACAGGGUCCCAGUUGGGCACUAAGAUUCAAUCAUUUCUUUCCAUCUAAUGUAUUCCAUGGUUAACUUUAUAUGAUUUUUGUAUAUCUCUAUAAACCAAUCCCGUGGAAAUCAAGGGAAAAUAUAGUUAUUACUCAAUGCAGAACAUGCCCGUGUAAUUGGUACUCUACUUGUACGGUUGUACAUGUACAUUUGGAUAAAUGAAGCCAAGCAUUUGAUGGUUAAGUAUUAUUAUUCCUGAGUAUUUUGACAACUAAACCACUCAUUAUUCUCAUGUUAAAAUCUUGUAAAUUGACAUAUGGUAAAGCUUUUUUUGCGUUACAGUUUGACAUCUCAUUCUCAAAAUCACAUAAUUUCAAUCAAAAAAUAUGAGAAAAUAUUAAGGCUAAAAGAAAAUUUGGGAAGUAAGCCUCAAGACAAUUCACCCAUUCAAUAUUAAAACAUUACAUUUGGAAGGUGGAAAAUAAUUGAAAACUAUGAGCCCAUUCCCGCACAGCAAAUACAAUUGCGGAUUUGAAUUUGUCGUUUCCUCACUUGUACAAUAGUUCUUCAAAAUCAAUUGAUAAUUUCUUACAAUGUAAUUAUUUCUUUCUUUAAAUAGUUAUAGUGCACUUUAGCAUUUAAAUGCGUUUUUACUUUUAUUCACAUAGUUUCAACGACCUUUUUUGAUUGAGGGUUAUGUUCGAUAAACUGUCCAAAUGGUUUUCCUAGCUGCUGUAUCCAUUAUGGUAAUAAAAUAGACAAACUUUUUUUUUAUUAUAAAACCUCUUUGUGCAUAUCUUCUCUCUAUGUUAUGACGUUUACUGAAUUGUUCAUAUUGAAUAAGGCGAAAGUCCAUCGUGGUCAGAAUCAUCAUCUUUUAUGUUAUUUUUCCCUUUCCUCUAGGAGUCCAAUUUGCAUGCAUAUGGCUAAGCAUGUUUUGUUUUGUGGAUGUAUGUAAUCUGUAUGAAGAAUUGUUUACACGGUUCAUGUUGAGGGCAAUGAGAAAUGAUGUUAACAAAAAGCAAGUUCCUGCAUUCUUAUAUGAAAUGUACUAAAAAUGUUGUUUACGAUAAAAUUUUAGCAAUGGUAAAUGCAUGACAUUAUGUUCUCAUUUACAUUUUCAAAUAAUCAUUACAAAACAUUUAAUAAAUUUGAAAAUUUUGAGAGAACUUUGUCAUUUCCAUUUGGCUGCGGAGCUGACUGAAAUUUGAGAGAAAUUUGUAUUCUUCUCUGUAAAAUUUGAUCACAAUUGAGAAUCAUGUAAAAUAUUUCUUGCUUAUUAUUUUCUCAUUCUUUUUGUUCCAUUUUAUUUUAAAAUUUUGCUCCUUUUUGGUCACUACACCUAAGACACACUUGGUAAUCCUUCUAUUUGCUCCACAGGAAAUUGUUUCCAAACAAUGUUAAGAAGAUAGAACACACCGAGAAUAUUUUUGGUGAAUAUCGGGAGAAACAUGAUAUGAGGCGGUAUGCUUCUUAUACUAUAGAUUUUUCUUUUACCUCUUUUUUGAAAUAAAUAAAUAAAUAAAUCAUCCUUGUUUAGCGUGAGUUAAUGGUAAUUGUGUUCUUGGCUGUUCAGUUAACUUGGUAUUAGAUUCACCAUCAUUGAGAUGCUACACUUGUCAUACUAUCCAUUUGUGCUUCAUGUAUUCAUAUAGUGUAGGUUGUUGAAGGAAGAUAAAUUUGUUUGUGGCUAAUUCACUUUGUAAUUUGUCAUUUGUUUCUGUCAAUGUCUUCAUCUAUUUUCAUGUUGGAUUUUUGUUAUCUAAAAGGGAUGACACCAACAAUAGCUUCAUGUACUCAAUUUUCACUUUAUCUGUACAUUUCUCUUUCAAAAUUUGAUCUCUAUGAAUUUUCCCUUUAAUUUUUGUACGAUUUUGUGCACUAGAUCUAGGACUUCUACAUAAGCACACUUGCUAGCACUCCUCCAGGUUACUAAAAUAACCUCACAGUGAAUAUAGUAAUGAAUUGAUCAAUUCUUCAUUUGUAUUGCAAUUUGUAUUUUAUUUCUUCAAAUCUGAAAUGCGUGAAAAUAAGACAAACUAUGAAAUUGGUGUUAUUCAUAAGCUAUUACCCGGUUUGCUUAGUUUGAUGCCUGGAAUAGAGACAGGUAAGUUUUUUGUUGCACGGAAAUUUUGCUAAUCUUCAAGGUAAUACAGUAAUGCUUAUGGUUUUUAUUUUAAUGGGAUCUGGUUAUAUGUGAAUCACACAUUGUGACCUACACAAGCAUUGUUUAUUAUUCAUAUUUUCUGACACAUUGAUCGAUAUUAUUAAUGUUCAUCAUCAUGAGAUAUGCGUAUGAGGAAGUUGUUCUGGUAAUUAAAGACGUUGGAUAAAAAUCUUCUUGUCUGAGGUUAUGCAGUUUCUGUGCCUUGUCACUUGCCAAUUAAUUUUACAAUUUGUGCUCAAUGUUUUGUUGAAGUACAAAAGUUGGUAGCGUUUCAUGGGAUUUUAGUUUGAUAAAGGUACGACUUCAAUGACCAGAAGCCUAAUUUUUCUUAGUCAUAACUUAGCGGGAAAAAAAAGAGCAUAGUACCUUUCCCUCUGGGGGUAGGAAAAUCAUGAUCAGCAGUUGGCAGCUGGGGUAGAGUUUGCAACUGCAGUUGUUCCUCAUCUAUUUCUUCCAUUAGCUUGUGCUGCCAAUUUAGCCAGGCUUUUAUCAUUACUGUGCUUUUCAUUUCUCAAUGUCUUGCAAUGGAGAACUACCUUCACACAUUCAUAUUUGUGUGCUUGUAGAAUGUUAUCACUAUCACAUCGACCUGAGCUCGAACCCCAAUAGAUAAGGCCUUUGCUAAAGGAGAAAUGUUGGAGAUGUGACUGUCAGGGAAGAAAGUUGGAAAUGGUAUUGACAACGUAUCUUUGUUUGAUCAAAAUGUUGUUAUUUACAAUUUUAUUUUCUGGCAAGGAUAUAACAGAUACUACCAAUCAAAAUGAUGUUUAAAACUUAGUCUUAUAUUUUCUUGUGGUUAUUAUAGUCGUGAAAUUUCUUACGCUGCAUAUUAGUACCGCCAAAGUAACUACUUGUGGACACAUAUUUUAUAUAAUCUAAUGUAAUCAUCCUUCUAACCA